rnacentral:snRNA from 1 species
AGAGCCAAGUUAGAAGAAAUUUG